UACAAAGGGUGCAAGCGUUAAUCGGAAUUACUGGGCGUAAAGGGUGCGUAGGCGGUUCGUUAAGUCUGUCGUGAAAUCCCCGGGCUCAACCUGGGAAUGGCGAUGGAUACUGGCGGGCUAGAGUGUGUCAGAGGAUGGUGGAAUUCCCGGUGUAGCGGUGAAAUGCGUAGAGAUCGGGAGGAACAUCAGUGGCGAAGGCGGCCAUCUGGGACAACACUGACGCUGAAGCACGAAAGCGUGGGGAGCAAACAGG
rnacentral:rRNA from 1 species